UACAGAGGUCUCGAGCGUUAGGCGGAAUCACUGGGCUUAAAGCGUGUGUAGGCGGAUCGUUAAGUGCCUUGUGAAAUCCCACGGCUCAACCGUGGAACUGCUUGGCAUACUGGCAGUCCUGAGCAACCUAGGGGCGAGCGGAACAAAUGGUGGAGCGGUGAAAUGCGUAGAUAUCAUGUGGAACGCCAAUGGUGAAAACAGCUCGCUGGGGGUUUGCUGACGCUGAGACACGAAAGCCAGGGGAGCAAACGGG
rnacentral:rRNA from 1 species